rnacentral:rRNA from 1 species
CUACAAAGGAAUUGACGGGGCCGCACAAGCGGUGGAGCAUGUGGUUUAAUUCGACGCAACGCGAAGAACCUUACCAGGGCUUGACAUCCCCUGACCGCGUAUGAAAGUACGUUUUCACCCUCGGGUGACAGGGAGACAGGUGGUGCAUGGUUGUCGUCAGCUCGUGUCGUGAGAUGUUGGGUUAAGUCCCGCAACGAGCGCAACCCCUACGUUUAGUUGCUAACGCGUGAAGGCGAGCACUCUAGACGAACUGCCGUUGACAAAACGGAGGAAGGUGGGAUGACGUCAAAUCAUCAUGCCCCUUAUGUUCUGGGCUACACACGUGCUACAAUGGCCGGUACAGACGGACGCAAAGCCGCGAGGUGGAGCAAAUCCUAAAAAGCCGGUCUCAGUUCGGAUUGCAGGCUGCAAUUCGCCUGCAUGAAGUCGGAAUCGCUAGUAAUCGCAGGUCAGCAUACUGCGGUGAAUACGUUCCCGGGCCUU